UGGAAGGAGACCUGACUUGGGGGUGGUGGUCACACAAUAUAGUAUAUACAGAUGAUUUAUUACAGGAUUGUACACUUGAAAUCUAUAUAAUCAUAUUAACCAAUGGCCCCCAAAUAAAUUUAAUU